GGGGAUGACGUCAAGUCCUCAUGGCCCUUAUGGUAGGGCUUCACACGUCAUACAAUGGUCGGUACAGAGGGUUGCCAAACCGCGAGGUGGAGCCAAUCCCUUAAAGCCGAUCGUAGUCCGGAUCGUAGUCUGCAACUCGACUACGUGAAGUCGGAAUCGCUAGUAAUCGCAGAUCAGCAUGCUGCGGUGAAUACGUUCCCGGGUCUU
rnacentral:rRNA from 1 species